CUAGCCUGGGCGACAAGAGCAAAACUCAGUCUCAAAAAAAAAAAAAAAAAAAAAAAAAAAAAAAGAAAUAAAAAGAAAAAGAAAAAGAAAAUGAAAAAGAAAAGAAAGGAAAGCCAAAAGGGGUUUAGUUUCUGUCCCAGUUAUUUUUUUCUGUUCCUGUCUCCAGGACCAAAUGAACUCAAGGCUAAUUACAGAGACAAAAUACUAGUCACUUCUCUCAGAGUGAAAAGAAAAGAACAGAAAAUGUGAUUUAAAGCUCAACUUUAAGCGUGAAUAACAGAUUAGACAAUGUGCCAUAAAGGAACUCGUUAAACAGUGAAGUAUGACAUUUUGGACGGUUCUGAAUAUUCUUUGGAAAUUUUGAGAAUCCAAGUUUUUUUCUCAUAUGUGUGAUUAUUAAAGGGAAAAAUGUGGAUAGUACUGGGAUUGGAAUCACAUAGGUUUUAAUUCAUAUUAAGGUUUAAAUGUUGAGUCUAAUUAUUUGAUCACCUUUUGGGUAUCAUCUAGUUCUUAAUAUACUCCUUUUGUUUUUGUUUUGUUUUGUUUUGUUUUGUUUUUGAGAUGGAGUUUUUCUCUUGUUGCCCAAACUAGAGCGCAGUGGCGUGAUCUCAGCUCACUGCAACCUCCGCCUCCCUGGUUCAAGUGAUUCUCCUGCCUCAGCCUCCAGAGUAGCUGGGAUUACAGGCACACGCCACCAU
rnacentral:lncRNA from 1 species